GUAGCCAAGGGGGCCAUCCUGUGUGACCUCCGCCUUUGCACGGCGGAGGUCAGGGGUUCGAAUCCCCUCGGCUCCA
rnacentral:tRNA from 1 species